rnacentral:misc_RNA from 1 species
UUUACAAGUACAGAAUCCGGGUAUGAUGCAUAUUACAUCCUUUUUAAAAAAAUUUCUAAUUAUUUGGCAUCAUAAUUUUCCAACUGUCAACGUUAUGAUCAACUCAAUGGCAUGAAAUGAUGAAACAGUCCCACUCCUUUGUUCCGCUUCCAUUUGGGGUGGGUGGGAAAAAUUGGACCAUACUCUGGGGUAGUUGACGGUGAGAAUCUAUCAAGCAUGUGACUGUUGUUGUGAAUUAGAUUUGGGGUGGCAUUGAAUCAAUUUUUGAGGAUAUUCUUUUCCCCAGUUUCAGAUAAAUUGAAUUAAUAUUUUGAAUUUAUAAGUAGACAUACAUACCUUAAAUAUAGCAACAGUACUGAAUUUCAUUUAUUAUGAAACUGUUUUCCAGG